rnacentral:rRNA from 1 species
AAUUUUGGACAAUGGGGGAAACCCUGAUCCAGCCAUCCCGCGUGUAUGAUGAAGGUCUUCGGAUCGUAAAGCUCUGUCCUUGGGGUAGAAGAUCGAAAGAUUUGACGGUACCCGAGGAGGAAGCCCCGGCUAACUACGUGCCAGCAGCCGCGGUAAUACGUAGGGGGCAAGCGUUGUCCGGAAUUAUUGGGCGUAAAGGGUGCGUAGGCGGCUUUUUAAGUCAGAUGUGAAAGACCACGGCUUAACCGUGGGGUUGCAUUUGAAACUGGAAGGCUUGAGUAUCGGAGAGGGUAGUGGAAUUCCCAGUGGAGCGGUGAAAUGCGUAGAUAUUGGGAGGAACACCAGUGGCGAAGGCGACUACCUGGACGAAAACUGACGCUGAUGCACGAAAGCUAGGGGAGCAAACAG